GCCAGAAUCCCUGCUCUUUUUUGUGGGCAGGAACAGACUAGAAGUAUAAGAAGGCCUAUGGAAGACAGAACGAACAGCAGAGUUCUUCACAGGAACCGGCUGCCACCUAAUGAACCAAAAUGGGACACUUGGCACUAUAAACUCCAAGCAGUGGAAGUAUAAGAGAAAGAAGCAUCAUGUCACAGAGAGAAGCAGAGAGAACUGCAAGUGCAGAGCUUCCACGAGGACAGAGAAGUAAAUAUGCCUUGAGAAAGUAGACCUGGACACUGCUACAUGUCAUGUUCUGGUUUCUGAAAAAAGUUCCAAACAUGCCAGCAGUCAUUCAAAACAGAAUCCACAAUGUAGCUUCCAUGUUUCAUACCACUGAACACAGGUAGAAAAGUCCAACACUAGCCAUUUCUGUGAUACUGUUAGUGAAUUAGUUUUCAAGUGAGCAUCAAUCAACUGAUAAAUCUCCAUCUGUCCACCUACAAAUCGCAAGAUCAUUACUGAGAAAAAAUAACCAGAGGCUUGUCUUCCAUCAAAACAGCUUGUCACUGAAUUUUCUCUCUUUUCUCAAUUUGAGAAUUUUCCUACCUUCCUUUUCAACAGCUAUGGAGAAAAGGAAUCCUUGCCUGAAAUGAUUAAGAGCUAAUCAGAACCAGUUACUGAACAUUUAUCAACAUUUAUUACACAUCAGAGUUGAUGGGACGCAACCAGUUUUCAUGAAUUCACUCUGGCUUAACAUGUGUCACAGAUUGGCGUAAGCAGCAGUACUUCCCUUUAUUAAAAUAUCUGAUAAAUGUCAUGGAUUUUUACCCACAUAAUUUUGAUUAUGUUUUCCCAAAGCAGGACAACUAACUGCUGAUAAAAUAGGUAGUGGUACCAUACUGGAACAAAACCACAAACUAAUCAACCCUCUAAAAUUACUUCAAAUUUUUCUCAAAGCGUAUAUUGUAAUAAUGGAAAGACCACAAACAGACAGAA